rnacentral:rRNA from 1 species
GACGGAGGAUGCAAGUGUUAUCCGGAAUCACUGGGCGUAAAGCGUCUGUAGGUGGUUUAAAAAGUCCACUGUUAAAGAUUGAAGCUUAACUUCAAAAAUGCCGUGGAAACUUUUAAACUUGAGUAUGGUAGGGGUAGAGGGAAUUUCCAGUGGAGCGGUGAAAUGCGUAGAUAUUGGAAAAGACCACCAAUGGCGAAGGCACUCUACUGGGCCAUUACUGACACUAGAGACGAAAGCUAGGGGGAGCAAAUGGGG